CGUUCCAAUUCCAUUCAUUCCAUCAGUGAGUCACAGGUGAGAAGGGGGAGUUGUGGCGCUGCUCAGUCCAGGUGGCUGGCAGGUGCUGGCGUUACUCACACUCUUGCAACCUUGUGUUACUGACUUAAAAUCAUGUCACCUAGUGCUACAUGCAAACUUCAAGAGACAUAUGCUCCUCCUGACAGUAAGAGAAAGGAAGGCAGACGCCAGCAAUGCCUCACACUUGGUUAGUGUGAGGAGAGAGGCAGGCAGGUGGUCAGCAACAAGAGGACCCGUGUCAAGAUGGCAGUAGAUGAUGAGGAACCACUGACACACAAGGACCAGAGUGAGGGGCAAAAUGAGGUGAGGCAGUCUGGAGGACCAGCCAGCAUAGAGACCAUAUUGACAUCAGCUUUGCACAAACGUGCUGCCAAGAAACUUGGAAAGAAAUUAGGUAAAAGCAAGAAAAGUCAUUUAGAUUCUAAAGAGGAGCAUCAUGAGGGCAACACCAACAAGAAGAAGAAAAAGAGCAAGACAGUUAAGGGAACUGAAAUACAUGAGAAUCUGGAGCUUAAAGGAAGUGAGUACAGUGAGGAAAGUAAGAAGAAAGAAGAGAUCAUCACAGAGCAUUUUGGGGAAAAUGUAGCAGAAGAUGGGAGGAAAAAAGAUGAAGAUGAAAGUGAAGGAGAGGAGCAUGCCAAGGCAGUAUCCAAGGCAGACGAAGAAGUGGCCUCCCCUACCAGGGCAUACCUCAGGGCUGUGUCGGUGCCAAAGAAAAAAACAUUGAGGAAACACAAGACCACUCAAGAUAAUGGGCGGGUGUUGGGUGUCACAAUCCACAGUGCUGAUCGGCUUGAAGGGUCCCUGCUACUGUUCCCACAUCCUGUUGUUCAGGUGUACAUCUGCAACAUGGACACAGGGCAGUUUUUACAGAAAUCAUCGCCAGAGCGGAAAGUAACAUCCUAUUAUGAGAGAAGUGAAGUGGACUACAUCCUUCCCAUCAUGACCAGUCCCUUUGACAUCAAAAAGGCCAGAAGCACAUACUGCCGAUGGGAGGAGCAGUUGGUCUUUAAUGAACCACCAGAGCACUUCACCUCAGAUGACCCCCAAGUGUUGGUGUUCUUUCAACUGAUGGAUUUCCCACCCUCAGUUGACAAUAGUCCUGGCAUUCCCGAGAGUACAACCAGAGACUGGGUAACCUUUGCCUGGGCCUUCCUGAAGGUCAAAGGCACCAAUGGUCAUGUCAAUAUUGGAGAGCAGUUGAGGUUACAGAUGUGGAGGCCAAGACGUUCCUCCAAGGUGAGCCUCAAAGACCUUCACAGCUGGUGGAAGAGUGGCAGCAGAACCAAGUACCCAUCCACCCUGCAUGUCACCCUGCAGGAAGUGGUCAUCCCUCUCAACCCACAGCCAACCCUCAGAUCCAUGAUAGCAACCCAAGCAGAAGGAAUACCAUUUGACCUGGCACACUCCCUGGAACAUUCCUCCCCAGUAGGGUCAAGUGGCAGCUUAGCACACGCAGUACACAAGCCAGUGGUUGUUUGGGGCCGCAAACCCAACCAGUCCUGUAGAAUUGGCAGCUUUGUCAAGUACUGUUUUCCUCAUUCUGAAAAAGGAUGUCUUGUUGUCAAGUUCUCACAUGAUGGUCUCAGAAUUGCAUGUGGCAAUCACAAAGAAGUAUUUAUAUAUGAUGUACUGGCUGGUCACCUAGAGCAAGCAUUAUGUGGUCAUCUUGGGCUUAUUUAUGAUAUAUGCUGGAGCAUAGAUGACACCCACAUCCUUACUGCCUCAGCUGACUCAACUGCAAGAAUAUGGAAAUUGGGAAGUGCAGAAAUACAUAGCCAAAGUGAAGUAUUGGCACAUCCUUCUUAUGUUUAUGUUGCUCGAUUUGUUCCUGGUACAGUCCAUGUAGUAGUGAGUGGCUGCUAUGACCAUGUGCUCAGAGUCUGGACAUGUAGUAAGAAAGGAAGCUACUCAAUUUUGCAAGAGAUAACUAAUCAUCUUUCCUUUAUUAAUGCAUUGUGCUUUAAUGGUGAAGGGGAUGUUCUGUACUCUGGAGACAAACAAGGAAUGAUUUUUGUGUGGAAUGUGAAAAUCUCCCCUAAAGAUAAAAGUAAAAGAAAGGCCAAGAUACUUAGUCUUAAACAUGAGGCUAAAGUUCCAGACAUUGUUGGAAAUAUAAUUAAUUCCAUUACCGCUCAUCCCGGUGGCUUCCGUUUAUUGGUUCACACAAGGGACAGUCAGUUGAGGCUUGUCAAUCAUCAACACUGGACAGUGACUCACAACCUUCGUGGUGCUCUCAACGUGCGUGAACAGCUGCGGAGCUGCAUCAGCCCCUGUGGAACGUGGGUGGUCUCUGGAAGUGAAGAUGGAGGACUCUUUGUGUGGAAUUCAGACACAGGAGAGAUGGCUGCAUCAGUGAUGGACCUGCCAUUAUAUGGAACUGUUUCCUGUGCGGACUUCCAUCCUCAUGACCACAUGGUGGCAGUCUGCUCUUAUUCUAGUGAAUCUCCUGUCUUAAUUUUAGCUCAUGCACCAAAUGCACCACCAAAUACAAAUCUGUCAAUCUCAGUUGAAGCAUCUUCAACAAGGAAUCACUACAGCUCCUUGAGAAUCUCAAGUCCACAGCAGUCAGUGUUGCAAGGACUGGAUGCUUACAAGACAGUUACAAGCAGGACAUCAGUCACAGUGGAGAAAAUUCACAAAAUUUCUCAAGAACACAAUAUGCUGUCAUUAGGCAACUGCAAUUCAACCUUUUGCUUUUCAUCAGAAGAAAAGGAAAAUUCACUCUUUACAAUGAAGAUUCACGAGUCAAAAAGUGGGCAACACUUCAUGAUGGCUCGAGAAGAUGCCAUUCUCAAAAAGCUGGACUCCGUGCUAAAGAUGGCCACUGAGGAGCCACUCAACUUUACUAUGGACAGCAGCAGGCCCAUCCAGACAAUCAAGCACAGCUCAAUGGGCACUGCCCACAAAUGGGCAAAGUCCACAGGCACAACUCUAGUGGUUUCCGCAUGCUGUUCAGCUGGCCUAGUAACCCAGACAGCAACUGAAGAAAAGAAGUGAAGGUUUCAUCGCCCAGGGCCAUCUGGCCACAGUUUUGUAUGACUACACAGGCUCUGACAAGAGAGAGCUCUCACUUAGACAAGGAGACUUUGUGUUAGUAGUGCAGGAGAUCAAUGCUGACUGGUGGCUGGUGCAGACAGCUGAUGGGAGGUCCACUGGCCUGGUUCCAGCACCUUACCUCAACAAGCUGCCUCACAGAAACCAGGAAACAGAAAAAAUUGAA
rnacentral:misc_RNA from 1 species